rnacentral:rRNA from 1 species
CAAUAGCGUAUAUUUAAGUUGCUGCAGUUAAAAAGCUCGUAGUUGGAUUUCGGGUGGGAAUGGCCGGUCCGCCGUUUCGGUGUGCACUUGCUACGCCCACCUUGCUGCCGGGGACGUGCUCUUGAGUUCACGCUCGGGACACGGAGUCGGCGAGGUUACUUUGAGUAAAUUAGAGUGUUCAAAGCAGGCCUACGCUCUGAAUACAUUAGCAUGGAAUAACACGAUAGGACUCUGGCCUAUCUUGUUGGUCUGUAGGACCGGAGUAAUGAUUAAGAGGGACAGUUGGGGGCAUUCGUAUUUAAUUGUCAGAGGUGAAAUUCUUGGAUUUAUGAAAGACGAACUAGUGCGAAAGCAUUUGCCAAGGAUGUUUUCAUUAA